rnacentral:misc_RNA from 1 species
CUAAGGAGCACUUCUCCGGACAUGCCCGCACAGGUGGGGAUGUUGUUCCGGCAGAGACCGUUUCGGAUGCAUACGUCAUCCGGCGGACGCUCAUGGGUGGAACGCUGACAGCUUUCCCUGCGUAUCGGUGCGUCACAUGGCGUGCUGGUGGGUGAAUAUAUCGACACACUGUUGGGUCCUGAGAGAACACGCGAAAGCGAUUCUUUCUGGGAAGAGAUAACGAUCCGAUCGGGUUCCCGGUCAUACCGACCUCAGUCUUCGGGCUGGGGUGCUGGUGUCGGAAGCGGACUUGGUUGGGUGUGUUGUUUGAGAACUGCACAGUGGACGCGAGCAUCUUUGUUAGUAAGUGUUUAAGAGCGUAC